UGGGAUGCAGCUCAAUGGUAGAGCUGUUGCCUGGUAGGCAUCAGGCUUUGGGUCCUAUCCCAAGCACCACAA
rnacentral:tRNA from 1 species